CCGUUCCUUUUGCAUAGGAAAGUCCAGUGUACCCUAUGCCAAAGGAGAUAGGAGAGGAAGCAUUGAAGCACCUUUCCUAAAUAUUCUGGGAAUCCAAACAGCUCUUAUCAUGGCUGCCGAUGAAAUAGUUCCAGGUCAUUUCAGGAUUAAGGAAACCUCAAAAAAAUGUACAAUUUGACCGCACCCCGAGUCUGACAGAUCAAAUGAAAUGGGGCUCCCAUAAUUCGUCUGGGUUCCAGGCUAGUUCGCUUCAUGGUCACUGCAUUAAGCGUCAGAACAAGUAGGUCAGCAGCAGUUACCAAACAAUGUUGAUUUUUUGGAUCUUGCAUAGCGAUAUUCUACUUAACUUACAAUGUCAUGUAGAGGUUUUAUGAACAGGGAUUGGUUUAAUGUUGAGAAAUGUGUUGCACCACAGCAGGUAACUUGACAACAAGAACUGUUCAACUAAGGACCAUCACAUGUACACCAACUACUUCUGAGGAAUAUUAUUUUAGCUUUUAUGAGUCACCUUAUUACCUUGAUUUUGGAUCACCUUAGUGUAGAUGAGGUCUUUCCUUAUGAUAGAUUUAGUUGUACUUAUAGGAAAGUUGUAAUAUUUUGGGGAAAUAGCGAUGUGUUUUAGAAGUCACUACAUAAGCACAGCUGAAAUUCAUUAUAAACCAACAAGCAUUCUAUGUUGCACAGUAUUAGUUUGUGUAUUGCAUAAAUGGUAUUUUGUAUUUUGAUGCAUUUAACUGUUUAUUAUUCAACUCAGGCAUGUCAUCAAAGUCUUAAGACUAGGUGACACUGAUUUCUUUCUCGACCCUUUAUUGUAUGUGUGAUUGGGCUGAUGGCAUCAGUAACCUGACCACUGUACUACACAAAUCCAUUUGUCCGCUCAAAAUGUAUUGGAGAAAAAAAGAGUUUAAAGUCCCAACAAAGUGACCUCAAAAUUGUGCAGUAUAGUAGAAAAAAAAUAAGGUAUGUUGUGAGAUUAUAUAAAUGUGGCAGAGGUUGGUCGCUCUGGCUUUAACAGGAAUAUGGUUUUGUAUAAAUACUUCACAACACAACUAUGUUAUUUAUAUAUAUAUAUAUAUGUGUAUAUAUAUAUGUGUGUAUGUAUGUGUGUAUAUAUAUGUAUGUGUAUAUAUAUGUAUAUAUAUACAUAUAUAUACAUGUGUGUAUAUAUAUGUAUAUAUAUAUGUAUGUGUGUAUAUAUAUGUAUAUGUAUAUAUAUACAUAUAUAUAUGCUGCAUCCUUUAAAGAUGAUCAGUUAUCAUUAGGUCCUACUGCUGCAUCUCCACAAAAUAAGACUAUCAUGAAAAGGUGCACAAGCAACAGCCUUAAGAAGAGUGUCAAGAGUGAAGAGCUUGGGAGAGCUUCACAAGGAGUGUACUAAGGUUGUAGUCCACAAAAAUGGUAUAUUGUUGCAGUCCAAAAGCUCCCACCACAGACAUCUUCAGGAAAUUGGCUACAACUUUCCCACUCUUAGAUUCAAACUCCUCCUGAACCAGAGACAGUGUCAGGAGCGUCUGACCUGGGCUAAGGAGGAAAAUAUUUGCCAUGUUGCUCAAUGGUCCAAAGUAAAAUUUGCAAUACAUUUGGAAAUCAAGGUCCCAGAGUCUGGAGGAAAAGUUGGUUGGAGUCCAGUGUGAAGUUUCUGCAGGCGGUGGCGAUUCAAAGUGCUGUGUCAUCAACUGGUAUCGAUCCACUGUGUUUUAUCUAAUGUUUUAAGUCCAAAGUCAACGCCGCCGUCUACCGGGAGAUUUUAGAGAACGUCAUGCUUCUGUCUGGUGACAAUUUUUAUGCAGAUACCUCAGCAGUGCCACAGGCUGAUCGCCUCCAUGCCACGCUUAACGUGCAUAAAUGAAUAUACUUUUCACAAGUUGAACAUUCCUGUAGUGUGCCACUUUUUCGACUGAUCUUUCAAAUAUUUUGAAAAACUGGAUUUUUUUAUUCUCAUGAGUUGUAAGCUGUAAUCAUUUAGAUUAAAACAAGCUUGUUUACUAUCUGUUGUUAUUGAAUCCUACACUGAAAUUAAUUUUUUGUAAAUUUACAGCCAAUUUUCAACACAAAUACUGUUGUCAUAUAAAACGGUUUUGGACUGUAGUAAGCAAUGCAUUGUGGGCUGCUUAAUAGAGGCAACAGGACAGAGGCCCCAAAAUUAUGCAGAUGUUUUAAAUUACAGAAAACUACGACUAUUUUUUGAAAACUUGGUGAUGCCUGGAGAAUUUGGAGCAUGGUCACACAUUUGAUAAAACGUUAAGUCUUUUGAUUCUAAAAUUAGGCUUCUGCUUUUUUCACAGUUUCUCAGUUAAUUUUCUUUGUGAAAAAUACGGAAAUAAUUUGCCAUCAACUCUUGACGGGAUUUCAGAAACCAGAGGAGGACAUGUUCUACGCAUCAACUAGUCCUGCUUCAUCAACAUCCAUCGGGUCUUGCAUCUACAAAUUAGACGGCACUUCGUUGGCAUAAAUCCAGAGAGGGGGUCAAAGGCCACCAUCAUCCAGUGUGAUCGUCCCCACGCUGCUGAAAAAACUUGACUUUGAUUGGAGCUUCAUUUAGGUCAGUGAGCUCUUAGUGCAAGUGUUGCUUUUACAGUCUGACAUUGCCAUAUUAAGCCACAAAAAAAUUGGUAUCCUUCGUUUUAUAAGCAUUGAUUUGCAGGGUUCAUUGUAAAUUCCUUAUUCUAUAGUUAUUUAUUUACAUCAUUAAAAAAAUAUUGGUAAAGGUGCAUUAGUAAAUAACCUUAAUAAACCAAGACACAAAAACUAAUAAACUUAAUGUCUUGAUUUCUUCAGGCUCUUUUAUUGUGGUUACUUUAUGACCAUUAACCACAUUUAUAAUUUUUUAAAAUGUAUUUAUUAUUUCUUUGUAAUGUAGGACUGAAGCACAUGAAACCAAAAGGUGUGCUGGUAGGAUUCUUGCUAUUUGCUGGUAAUUUGAAAAAAGUUUCAGUUAGUGGUUAUUUUUAAAAAAAGGACACCAGAAUUAAUACAGCUCACUAAACCCUUUGAUUAAUAGUUUUAUUGUUGAAAAAAUAAUGAUUAUCAGGCUUGUCGAUGUUGAGGGGCGUUCCUCACCUUAUGUACACCAAUAAUAUCUUCGGCUCAUUUAUAAGAUGUGUUAAAUCCAGUACAUCAAAAUUCAAAAACACACUGAGAUGUUUAAUCAGUGCAGACCAGGUUCAGCUCCUCACUGGACUUCACGUUGGACUGGAGUUUGCGAAUUCCCAUAAAUCCAACAGUUGCAGAGAACCUGAACCUGUUCAGGCGCCACUCUAUCCAUCAAUAGGUUUGAUAGUUUGUGCAACAAGCAUUCACACUCUGCUAACCUUUUACCCUUUGACAUGAAUGGUAUUCCACAGUCAAUCAUGCUAACUAGAAUUAAGUUAAUAUCAAUGUUUUGGGGGGGGAAACAUUGUCUUUUCCUCUUUAAAUUUAACUUCUAUUAACUAUAAUUUUAUCAUCAUCUCCAUCAUGUAACUUAAUUUCGGAUGAUAAAAGGGACACUUUAAUGACAAUUAUAAAACAAAUAAAAUCCAGAAUCUAUCAAAGCCUCUGAAUCAAGCUAAAGCUUUAACCAACUAACCAUCUCAAUCUAUAUGACUGGACUAUGAUUUAAGUGGAACUAAUUUGAAAAUGAAAACUGUAUCCAAACCACAAUGAUUACAAGAAAAAAAUCCAUAAAGCAGAUCAACCAGAUAGUCUGCAAUGUAUGAUAGAAAAAUGACACCAAAAAAAAAAAAGAACG